rnacentral:tRNA from 1 species
AGAGAGGUGACCGAGUGGUCGAAGGUGUACGCUUGGAAAGCGUAUGUUCCGAUUGUAUCGGAACCGAGGGUUCGAAUCCCUUCCUCUCUGCUA